UUCUCUGUGGCCUUUUUUUCCUUCUUCUUUCUUUCCACUUCAAACCCUUUUCAAGGUUUUCUAGAGAGAGAAGCUCUCACCCAAAUCCUCCCCGUGGAGAUUUGGUGCCUUGCUACACGGAGAAAUCUUUCAGCAUCCUUGAUAAUCUACAUGCAGAUUUCUUUCUUGUUCCACUUCGUAAGAUUGUGGGACUUGAUAAUUUCAGCUAGGAUUCUCAUCUUGGAACAGCCUUAUACGCAGUUCCAAAGUUGCUGGUUUGACCUAGAUCUGGUUCCUGUGGGCUGGUCUGUGGUAUUUGGGGAUUCAAGCUAA
rnacentral:lncRNA from 1 species